rnacentral:tRNA from 1 species
GCGCCUGUAGCUCAGUAGGAUAGAGCAUCGGUUUCCUAAACCGAAGGUCACAGGUUCGAAUCCUGUCAGGCGUA